rnacentral:lncRNA from 1 species
CUCCUUUUUGUAAAUAAUUUCCUCCACCAAGAUGCUGGUUUCCCCGGGGAGUAAGAAACCUCUUACUUUAAGGCAUUAUAACCAAUCACAGCCCAAAUCUUUUCUUGGAAAAGAACCACCACAGUCACAAGCAAGAAAACAAGACGAGACAAAAGAAGCAAUUUGCUCAUUUUGAGGACUGUCGUGGUGUGGGCGAGGCUGGUGGAACACCGCCUAAAGCUCCAAGUCAACUGCUUUCUCUAGUUCCACAAUAAGACAAGGCUUCACAGAGCUCUGACCACAUCUGGGAUCAGAGCAUCUUUCAUUACACCCAGAAAUUGAGGAAGAGCCCUGAGGCAGAGUUGUCCCGAGCCCAGUACGUGCUGGGGAAGCCGGCGUUUCAAAAGAAAGUGGUGUCUGAAAUAUCUUCACCCAACUUCCUCUUGGCAACCCCAAGAUGGAUUGAGUUCUCCGUAUCUCCUUGUUUGGUCUAAAAUUAGAAGUCACUGGGUAAGGAAGCUCUGGCACAUCCCGGCAGCGGCGCGUCCUUCACCACCGGAGAGCGCGGGCCCCGGGGUCCAGCCCACCGCUCCCUGCGCUUCCCCCUCCCCCUGUCCCUCCCCCUGUCCCUCUCCCCCUCCCUCUCCCUCUGCUUGUGCUCUCUCUCCCUCUCCCCCCUCUCCCUCUCUCCCUCCCCCUCUCCCUCUCCUUCUCUCCCUCCCUCUCCCUUUCCCCCUCCGUCUCCCUCUCCCUCUCCCCCCUCCCUCCCCCUCUCCCCCUCUCCCUCUCCCUCUGCUUGUGCGCUCUCUCUCUCUCUCUCUCUCUCUCUCAAAUAAAUAAAAUCUUAAACAACAACAAAAGAGCUCCCAGGCCACGGAAAGACAUGGAAGAAUCUUGAAUGCAUAUUACCAAGUGAAAGAAGCCAACCUGAAAGGCUGUGUAUGGUGUGAUGCCAACUCCAUGACAUUCCAGAAAGGAAAAACUGCGAAACGGCUCAGUGGCUGCUCAGGCCAGGGGGAAGGGAGGGAUGAGUAAGUUUAGGGCGAGAAACGACUCUGUGU